rnacentral:rRNA from 1 species
GUUGGGUAGGGGAGCGUUCUGUAAGCCUGCGAAGGUGUACUGUGAGGUAUGCUGGAGGUAUCAGAAGUGCGAAUGCUGACAUAAGUAACGAUAAUGCGGGUGAAAAACCCGCACGCCGGAAGACCAAGGGUUCCUGUCCAACGUUAAUCGGGGCAGGGUGAGUCGACCCCUAAGGCGAGGCUGAAAAGCGUAGUCGAUGGGAAACGGGUUAAUAUUCCCGUACUGGUGGUAACUGCGAUGGGGGAACGGAGAAGGCUAGGUUGUCCGGGCGACGGUCGUCCCGGUUCAAGCAGGUAGGCAGAGUGAUUAGGCAAAUCCGGUCACUUAAUGCUGAGAUGUGAUGACGAACCACUAAGGUGGUGAAGCAAUUGAUGCCCCGCUUCCAGGAAAAGCCUCUAAGCUUCAGGUUACCAACAAUCGUACCCCAAACCGACACAGGUGGUCAGGUAGAGAAUACUCAGGCGCUUGAGAGAACUCGGGUGAAGGAACUAGGCAAAAUGGUGCCGUAACUUCGGGAGAAGGCACGCUGGCGGUAGGUAAAGUCCCUUGCGGACGGCGCUGAAGCCAGUCGAAGAUACCAGCUGGCUGCAACUGUUUAUUAAAAACACAGCACUGUGCAAACACGAAAGUGGACGUAUACGGUGUGACGCCUGCCCGGUGCUGGAAGGUUAAUUGAUGGGGUCAGCCGUAAGGCGAAGCUCCUGAUCGAAGCCCCAGUAAACGGCGGCCGUAACUAUAACGGUCCUAAGGUAGCGAAAUUCCUUGUCGGGUAAGUUCCGACCUGCACGAAUGGCGUAAUGAUGGCCAGGCUGUCUCCACCCGAGACUCAGUGAAAUUGAACUCGCUGUGAAGAUGCAGUGUACCCGCGGCAAGACGGAAAGACCCCGUGAACCUUUACUAUAGCUUGACACUGAACAUUGAGCCUUGAUGUGUAGGAUAGGUGGGAGGCUUUGAAGUGUGGACGCCAGUCUGCAUGGAGCCAACCUUGAAAUACCACCCUUUAACGUUUGAUGUUCUAACCUAGGCCCAUAAACUGGGUCGGGGACCGUGUCUGGUGGGUAGUUUGACUGGGGCGGUCUCCUCCUAAAGAGUAACGGAGGAGCACGAAGGUUGGCUAAGCAUGGUCGGACAUCAUGCGGUUAGUGCAAAGGCAUAAGCCAGCUUGACUGCGAGAGUGACGGCUCGAGCAGGUACGAAAGUAGGUCUUAGUGAUCCGGUGGUUCUGAAUGGAAGGGCCAUCGCUCAACGGAUAAAAGGUACUCCGGGGAUAACAGGCUGAUACCGCCCAAGAGUUCAUAUCGACGGCGGUGUUUGGCACCUCGAUGUCGGCUCAUCACAUCCUGGGGCUGAAGUAGGUCCCAAGGGUAUGGCUGUUCGCCAUUUAAAGUGGUACGCGAGCUGGGUUUAGAACGUCGUGAGACAGUUCGGUCCCUAUCUGCCGUGGGCGUUGGAAGAUUGAGAGGGGUUGCUCCUAGUACGAGAGGACCGGAGUGAACGCACCACUGGUGUUCGGGUUGUCAUGCCAAUGGCAUUGCCCGGUAGCUAAGUGCGGAAGAGAUAACCGCUGAAAGCAUCUAAGCGGGAAACUUGCCUCGAGAUGAGUCUUCCCUGUCGCUUUAAGCGACCUAAAGGAACGUUUAAGACUAAGACGUUGAUAGGCUGGGUGUGUAAGCGUAGCGAUACGUUGAGCUAACCAGUACUAAUGAACCGUGAGGCUUAACCUGACAACACCGAAAGUGUUUUG